UACGAACCGUGCGAGCGUUAUUCGGAAUCACUGGGCUUAAAGGGCGCGUAGGCGGUCCGCACAGUCAGGUGUGAAAUCCUCCAGCUCAACUGGAGAAGUGCCUUUGAUACUGGCGGCCUCGAGGGGUGAAGGGGCGUGCGGAACUUCGGGUGGAGCGGUGAAAUGCGUAGAUAUCCGAAGGAACACCGGUGGCGAAGGCGGCACGCUGGACACCUUCUGACGCUGAGGCGCGAAAGCCAGGGGAGCAAACGGG
rnacentral:rRNA from 1 species